AGUCAAUUUGAGGCACAUUUGCAACUUAUAACUCUGAUUUACUCAUUUGCUGGUAUGAGGACCACACACAGCUUGACAACCCGCCAGCUCGCAUAGACCAUUCUCUCAGAAAAGGUUUGGCCCAAGUCGUGACCCAGCUUGGCAGCUCAGAAAACCAGCUGCCGGACAAUGGCGGAAUGUGGAGUUGAAUGGAACCUGCUUAGGAGCCAAAGCUUCUGCCUCUGACACUGUUUCUCAAAGUGUGAGCCAUGGAACACCGGCUCAUUAGAAAUGAGGAUUCCAAUAUCCUUGUUCGGGUACUUUGUUAGGAAAACCCAUGGUGCUUCUCAGACAUGAAGAUUCCUAGAUGCCACUCCAAAUGAAUCAGAUCUGAAUCUCUGGCGGAAUCAGCAGUUCCAGCAAUAUUUUCAGAGAGAGGCCACGCCCAGUGUGAACCCAAGGAGCCCAGCUCUGAAGCCUGCCUUCUCAGAGGCUCCACGAAGCCAUCUCACACUUGCUACCCAGGGAAGGGCUGCCCAGUUCCAAACAGCCCCCAUCUGCAGGUUGCUUUUCACCCUUACCACGUAGAAAGCUCUAGAUAG